ACUCUUGCUUUUUUGCAUAGCGAACAAAUCUUUCGCCUUUUACUAAAGAUUUCCGUGCAAAAGAGUAGCUAAGAGAUCAUUUAACAAAAUUUUUGUAGAAUUGAAGGGAAAUAUUCU
rnacentral:snRNA from 1 species